UGAAAAUCAACAUGACAAAGAUUGUGAACAGAUUGAAAUUGCAUAAACACAAAUACUCAUUUGUAACCUGCUCACUGUACAGAACGUAACUGCAUAUUCGGAUGCAUUUGUUGCAUCCUUACAAAGGAUUUUCUAUUGUGCAACGAACUAUUCUCGAGGAUUGUACCGUG
rnacentral:lncRNA from 1 species